CCCCGGAGAUUGUUCCUGAUAAGAUUAACUUAUAUACUAUAUUAGGCUUUUAGUAUUCGAAUUAUUUUGAAAAGAAAGAUAUGGGGUCAAUUCAGAUGAAAGCAUAUUGUCUUGAAAUUACAUUUAUCAAAUAACUUUGAUACAGAAGAAGGCACAACUGUUGCUACACGCGUAUCUUCCAACGGUUUAUAAGAAAACUAUAUUUAGGUCUUUCCACUUUUCCGUGGAAAGACCUAUUGGAUUUCUUCUGAUUAUUAGGUCUUUCCACCUUUCCGUGGAAAGACCUAUAGGGUUUGUUCUGAUUAUUAAGUCUUUCCACUUUUCUGUGGAAAGACUUAUUGUUUUUGUUCUGAUUAUUAUUAUUAUUAGGUCUUUCCACCUUUCCGUGGAAAGACCUAUUGUAUUUGUUCUGAUUAUUAUUAUUUUUUUUUUUUUUUUUUUCUCCACCUAAUUUUUUUCUUGCGUAUAUUGAUUGUUUCAAAAGAUGUGGCUUAGAUAUUUGGAAUAUGAUAUCGUAAAGUGUAUGCGCUUUUAAAACUGACAACUGCGUAACCAAAUACUUUGCGU
rnacentral:lncRNA from 1 species